rnacentral:rRNA from 1 species
CACGCUGUAAACGAUGGAUACUAGGUGUGGGGGGUCUGACCCCCUCCGUGCCGCAGUUAACACAAUAAGUAUCCCACCUGGGGAGUACGAUCGCAAGGUUGAAACUCAAAGGAAUUGACGGGGGCCCGCACAAGCGGUGGAGUAUGUGGUUUAAUUCGAAGCAACGCGAAGAACCUUACCAGGGCUUGACAUGGAGACGACCGGACUAGAGAUAGUCCUUCCCUUCGGGGCGUCUCACACAGGUGG